CCCGCCACAUUAUUUAAGUAUGUGCCUGUCCCAAGUCAGGAGCCUGUAAUUCAGUGGUUGUCGUUUGUUUAUGUGUUACAUAUUUGUUUUUCGUUCAUUUGUUUUACAUAAAUAAGGCCGUUAGUUUUCUCGUUUGAAUUGUUUUACACUAUCUUAUCGGGGCCUUUUAUAGCUCACUAUGCGGUAUGGGCUUUGCUCAUUAUUUAAGGCCGUACG
rnacentral:lncRNA from 1 species